rnacentral:rRNA from 1 species
GAUGAACGCUGGCGGCGUGCCUAAUACAUGCAAGUCGAGCGAACGGACGAGAAGCUUGCUUCUCUGAUGUUAGCGGCGGACGGGUGAGUAACACGUGGAUAACCUACCUAUAAGACUGGGAUAACUUCGGGAAACCGGAGCUAAUACCGGAUAAUAUUUUGAAUCGCAUGGUUCAAAAGUGAAAGACGGUCUUGCUGUCACUUAUAGAUGGAUCCGCGCUGCAUUAGCUAGUUGGUAAGGUAACGGCUUACCAAGGCAACGAUGCAUAGCCGACCUGAGAGGGUGAUCGGCCACACUGGAACUGAGACACGGUCCAGACUCCUACGGGAGGCAGCAGUAGGGAAUCUUCCGCAAUGGGCGAAAGCCUGACGGAGCAACGCCGCGUGAGUGAUGAAGGUCUUCGGAUCGUAAAACUCUGUUAUUAGGGAAGAACAUAUGUGUAAGUAACUGUGCACAUCUUGACGUUACCUAAUCAGAAAGCCACGGCUAACUACGUG